GACUAACGCUGGCGGCGCGCCUAACACAUGCAAGUCGCACGAGAAACCCUCCGCAAGGAGGGCGGUAAAGUGGCGAACGGGUGAGUAAUACAUGGGUGACCUGUCCUCAAGAUGGGAAUAACCUCGCGAAAGCGGGGCUAAUACCCAAUGCCAUUUCGAUCCUACGGGAUUGGGAUGAAAGAUAGCUGUUACAGGCUGUUGCUUGAAGAGGGGCCCAUGCCCCAUCAGCUAGNGGUAGGUAACGGCCUACCAAGGCGAUGACGGGUAGCUGGUCUGAGAGGACGACCAGCCACACUGGCACUGAGACACGGGCCAGACUCCUACGGGAGGCAGCAGUGAGGAAUCUUGCGCAAUGGACGAAAGUCUGACGCAGCGACGCCGCGUGGGGGAUGAAGGCCUCGGUCGUAACCC
rnacentral:rRNA from 1 species